rnacentral:rRNA from 1 species
CAGCAGUGGGGAAUAUUGCACAAUGGGGGAAACCCUGAUGCAGCAACGCCGCGUGAGUGAAGAAGUCAUUCGUGAUGUAAAGCUCUAUCAGCAGGGAAGAAAAUGACGGUACCUGACUAAGAAGCCCCGGCUAACUACGUGCCAGCAGCCGCGGUAAUACGUAGGGGGCAAGCGUUAUCCGGAUUUACUGGGUGUAAAGGGAGCGUAGACGGCGACGCAAGUCUGAAGUGAAAUGCCAGUGCUCAACACUGGAACUGCUUUGGAAACUGUGUAGCUAGAGUGCAGGAGAGGUAAGUGGAAUUCCUAGUGUAGCGGUGAAAUGCGUAGAUAUUAGGAGGAACACCAGUGGCGAAGGCGGCUUACUGGACUGUAACUGACGUUGAGGCUCGAAGGCGUGGGGAGCAAACAGGAUUAGA